AGAGAAAGACUCAAUGAAAAUAUCAGAAGAAUAUUUCUAUCACUAUUUGAAUUCUCUAAAUUCUCUGCUCAAUCUCUUUAGUUUUAUAACACGUUAUCAGCACGAAUAUCUCUAAAAUACCAGCUGGGAUAUUCGAUCGAAACACUCUGCUUCAUUGCUUUUCUUUCUUGGGUUUGAUUGAGUUCCUCAUGCUCUUCUGUGUAUCAAUAUAGCUUCUGUGUCACUCUAUAGCUUCAAAACACAAACCCAACAAAACAAGUUCUUAAGGAAGAUCAGACCAGUCAGCCCCCAUCAAGUACAAGUUGGCUUCAAAUCAAGCUGAUUUCUUUUUGCUCUACAAUUCACUCUUCUGUGGUUGAGUCAUUCCCAAAGUACAAAGUCAGUUGCUUUGAUCAGCAAAUUAACAAAACCAGAAGCUCAACGCGGGGCAGUGAAGGGAAAAAGCAAGCAGCGAGCACGUCAAAACCUCACCAAGGCUGCCUUAUCUUGUGCCUUGGAGGAACUCAGAGAGCUUUGACUCCAUUUUUGACCCAUCAAGCAAAUAAGCGAGCCUGAAAAACAAAGAGGGUCCGCAGCCAGCAAUCCAAGCAGAUAAAGGGCUACGGCACAAAAAGAAGGAAAAAGAAUUCUUGAUGACUAUCUAGAGUGCUUCAGUCUUCAUCCCUGGGAAUGGAUCAGAAACCUGAAUCGAGCAAAGUACGCGUUACUGGGGCAUCUGGCUUUCAGGCAUCUUGGCUUAUAAUAAAUGACUUCUGGCUAUCAUGUAACUGGAACGGUUAGAGGCUGAAGGAGAGAAAAGAUCAGACCCACAAAACAUGAUAAGAUGAUCUCUGCCUUUUUAUCUUCUCCUUUAAUUUUAUUAAUAUUAUUAAAACCCUACAAGAACAGCACCCACCGAAAUGAUGAGCUUCCCAUCAUCUUUU